UACGGAGGGUGCAAGCGUUAUCCGGAUUCACUGGGUUUAAAGGGUGCGUAGGCGGGUGUAUAAGUCAGUGGUGAAAGCUCCAGGCUUAACUUGGAAAUUGCCAUUGAUACUGUAUAUCUUGAAUGUCGUUGAGGUAAGCGGAAUGUUGCAUGUAGCGGUGAAAUGCUUAGAUAUGUUACAGAACACCAAUUGUGAAGACAGCUUACUAAGCGAUGAUUGACGCUGAGGCACGAAAGCGUGGGGAGCAAACAGG
rnacentral:rRNA from 1 species